CAUGCAUUGCUCUGGAUUUGAGGCCUCCCAUUAUGCCAUUAUGGAAGAAUUUACCUCCUUCUAUUCCACACUCUUUUCUUAGUCUUUUUUUCUUUUCUUUUUUUGAGGCAGAGUCUGGCUCUGUCACCCAGGCUGGAGUGCAGUGGCACAAUCUCAGCUCAUUGCAACCUCCGCCUCCCAGGUUCAGGUGAUUCUCCUUCAUCAGCCUCCUGAGUAGCUGGGACUACAGGCAUGCACCACCAUGCCCAGCUAAUUUUUGUAUUUUAAGUAGAGAUGGGGUUUUGCCAUAUUGGCCAGCCUGCUCUCGAACUCCAGACCUCAAGUGAUCUGCCCGCCUUGGCCUCCCAAAGUGCUGGGAUUACAGCUGUGAACUGUCACUUCCAGCCUUUCCUUUAUUAAUGUUAAGAAACAUUUGAAUUGUUAGGGGUAUCUACCUCCCUGAGCAGUAUGCUUCCAUUCAAAUGUGAGGAACUGAUUGGUGAAGUGGGCCAAUUUCUGCUUUAGGAGUUCUCAGAAUGAACAGGUUUAGGCUGACAAGGGGACGGACGUUCAUGGAAACCAGUAAUGGAGAAAAAGAAAAAAGAAAGAAAAGACUUCUGUUCCUAGAGAUGCUUUGCAUUCCUGGUGAAAAACUUGAUUAGCUACUAAUCAGUCAGCCCUUUACACUCCCAUUUCCACCCUAGGCACUUUCUGAAUCCAUUCCUUUCUCAAAUAGAGCUGGACCUUUAUAUAUGAUCUUUGGGAAAGUCCUCACACACAUUCCCAGACUGCUUUGCAGAAAAGUUCCACCAUCUUCUGUUCCCACUAGAGAAAUGGCAGUGCUUCUAGUGUUCUACCAUCGUUGAAGAUUUUAUCUGUUACCAUUUUGGUCCCGUGCUUGUUUUAAUUUGCAUGUAUGUGAUAUAACUCUCUCCUAGAAUUAUGGUAAGGAUUAAAUGAGCUAGAAUUUCACAUAGUGCUUUGCAAGUAUUAGCUAUUUCUUGAGUGCCUACAGUAUGCCAGCCAUUACACUAGGUGUAUUCCAUAAUAUCACUGACCCACACAAAGGCACUGCAGGAUCCCCUCAUUAGUGAUGUCCACAUUCUGGAAGCUGUAUGUCCUGAAGUUACGUAUCUUGUGUAUGCUUGAAGAUUGGAGCUCAAGUCUGAAUCAUUCCAAUGUCUGUCUUCUGUUUCCCUAAAUUGCUGCCUGUAUUCUUUGAUUAUUGGUAAUACAAACUGGUUUUUUAAUAUAUAUUUGGCCAUUUUAUUGAGUGCUUUUAUAUUAGAAAUUAUAUUUUUAUUAAUGAUACCUAAGAUUGCAUUCACCUUUUGAGCCAUGAUGUUACACUUCAUGCUCAUUUUGCAAUGCUUACCAUCAAUUAACAAUUCUAAAUCUUUAUUCAUGUAGGACACACUCUCUUCUCUCCUCUUAAGAGUCCCCAUUAAUGUUAUCAUUUGCCUAUUGUUCCAGUGAGUCAAUAUAAUUUGGCCCUUCAUUCUGCCUCCUGUGUGUAUCUGCUAUGUUAUUGAUUUUUU
rnacentral:lncRNA from 10 species